CGGCGGGUAGGCUAGUGGUUACGCCACGAGUUUUGGGAACUCGACAUCGGGGGUUCAAAUCCCCCCUCGCCGA
rnacentral:tRNA from 1 species